UGUCCCUCUCUUUUGGCAUCCCUUUGGUGGCUAUAUAAAGGCCUGGGCACUGGGUGUCUGAGGCAUUCAAAUCAAGUUUCCAAUUUCUCUUCGUUGCUCUCCUUUCUUUCUUACAACCCAUCCUAGUUUUAGGAAAAGGCUUUGGGAUUUAAGAAAAAGCCUUAUCUGAUCUAGAAAAAGGUUGUGAGGGUCCUAAAGAAGGAGAAUCAGAAGUCCAAAGGAGGUUCUGAGAGGGUAAGGUCAAGUUCUUGAAGAAACCUGAUCGGUAUGAGGCUAGUCGAGUUCUAGGGCUAAAACUCUUGAAGCA
rnacentral:lncRNA from 1 species